rnacentral:snoRNA from 1 species
GUGAGGUGAUGACAAAGUUUAUCCAUUCUCUGAGCGCAGUGGUGCUGCCCUCCUGCAGCACCCCGAUUCCUGUUCUAGGGUCUGGGUGCUGUGCAGCCUCCAGAGACCCUCUGCUCUCCCAGUGUCCUACUGGGGGCUGGUGUGGUCUGUGGCUGGCUGCCUGCAGGAGUGAAGUGGUGCUGGCAUGGUUGGAGCCCCUCUCUGGGGGGCUCUGUCCUCACUGAGAUGAGGGAUGAUGUCUGAUCAC